UACGUAGGGUGCAAGCGUUGUCCGGAAUUAUUGGGCGUAAAGAGCUCGUAGGCGGUCUGUUGCGUCGGCUGUGAAAACCCGGGGCUCAACCCCGGGCCUGCAGCCGAUACGGGCAGACUAGAGUUCGGUAGGGGAGACUGGAAUUCCUGGUGUAGCGGUGAAAUGCGCAGAUAUCAGGAGGAACACCGGUGGCGAAGGCGGCGAUCUGGGUAGAUACUGACGCUGAGGUGCGAAAGCGUGGGGAGCAAACAGG
rnacentral:rRNA from 1 species